UACGAAGGGGGCUAGCGUUGCUCGGAAUUACUGGGCGUAAAGCGCACGUAGGCGGCUUACUAAGUCAGGGGUGAAAUCCUGGAGCUCAACUCCAGAACUGCCUUUGAUACUGAGGGUCUUCGAGUCCGGGAGAGGUGAGUGGAACUGCGAGUGUAGAGGUGAAAUUCGUAGAUAUUCGCAAGAACACCAGUGGCGAAGGCGGCUCACUGGCCCGGUACUGACGCUGAGGUGCGAAAGCCAGGGGAGCAAACGGG
rnacentral:rRNA from 1 species